AGUGAACGCUGGCGGUAGGCCUAACACAUGCAAGUCGAACGGCAGCACAGUAAGAGCUUGCUCUUACGGGUGGCGAGUGGCGGACGGGUGAGGAAUACAUCGGAAUCUACUUUUUCGUGGGGGAUAACGUAGGGAAACUUACGCUAAUACCGCAUACGACCUACGGGUGAAAGCAGGGGAUCUUCGGACCUUGCGCGAUUGAAUGAGCCGAUGUCGGAUUAGCUAGUUGGCGGGGUAAAGGCCCACCAAGGCGACGAUCCGUAGCUGGUCUGAGAGGAUGAUCAGCCGCACUGGAACUGGGACGCGGUCCAGGCUCCUACGGGAGGCAGCAGUGGGGAAUAUUGGGCAAUGGGCGCGAGCCUGAUCCAGCCAUACCGCGUGGGUGAAGAAGGCCUUCGGGUUGUAAAGCCCUUUUGUUGGGAAAGAAAAGCAGCAGGUUAAUACCCCGCUGUUCUGACGGUACCCAAAGAAUAAGCACCGGCUAACUUCGUG
rnacentral:rRNA from 1 species